rnacentral:tRNA from 1 species
GCCCCGAUAGUGCAGUGGUCAAGCACGCGAGCCUUUCAAGCUUGUAACCCGGGUUCGAAUCCCGGUCGGGGUA